UACCAGCUCUUCGGGUGGUGUGGAUGUUUAUUGGGCCUAAAGCAUCCGUAGCUGGCUGGGCAAGUCCCCUGUUAAAUCCACCGAUUUAAUCGUUGGAGUGCGGGGGAUACUGUUCGGCUAGGGGACGGGAGAGGCAGACGGUAUUUUCGGGGUAGGGGUGAAAUCCUAUAAUCCCGAGAAGACCACCAGUGGCGAAGGCUGUCUGCUAGAACGCGCCCGACGGUGAGGGAUGAAAGCUGGGGGAGCGAACCGGAUUAGAUACCCGGGUAGUCCCAGCUGUAAACGAUGCAGGCUAGGUGUUUGGACGGCCACGUGCCGUUCUAGUGCCGCAGGGAAGCCGUUAAGCCUGCCGCCUGGGGAGUACGGCCGCAAGGCUGAAACUUAAAGGAAUUGGCGGGGGAGCACCACAAGGGGUGAAGCUUGCGGUUU
rnacentral:rRNA from 1 species